AUGGAAACACCAAUUUCUACCUAUACAGAUGAUGAUUUUAGGCACAAAGCAGAAUCAUAUGUAAUGACACAUGUUGCACUGGCUUUUGAAGUGCCAGGCGAUUGGCUUCAAGAAAGAGAUGGUACAAUUAUGGCUGUCAUACAGGUUGUUUGGGCUGCUGCAGAUGCCGGCUUAUCUCUUGCAGAUGUUGCUGCAGAAGCAAAACAUGCAUCUGAGGCUGUUGGUACGAUGGGAGUAGCACUUCUUGUUUGCACGUUGCCUGGGCAAGUGACAUCUGAUUGUUUAGGUCCUGAGAAAAUUGAGCUUGGCCUUGGAAUUGUUAAACCAUUGUCAGUCGUUUGUCCAGAAUCUUUCCUUCAUAUGUUUCAGACAAAUCAAGGCAACUAUUUUCUUAAAGGACAAAAGGGCCAGGCCUCCCGUCCGCGUCGCGCCGCCGCCGGCAUGGAGCUGGUUAAGGCCACUCAUUUCCAUGGCAGGGUCUGA
rnacentral:rRNA from 1 species